UGCGGCCGCCGGCGGGCUGCGUAGUGACGCAGGCGCGAGACUGUGCGGUGGCAGCCAUGGCGGACGGUUGCGAUGAGGCUGCUCCUGGGUCUCGCGGCUAUCCAAGACCAUUGAGGGUCCCCGGCGGCGCCUGCCGUCUGCUGAGGCUGGGUGGACUCCUCUGCGGCAGAUCUCCUGUAAGAUGUGCUGCAUCCACGUACCUGGCGGCCUCCCUCAUCGCGUGCUGUUGGUAGGGGGGCGAGUCAGGCCCUGUACACGUCCUGACAGGCACCCGGCCCACCCCCAGCCAACUGUGCGCUGUGUUCCUGCCCCAGCACGAGACCUGUGGGGUGUCCGCGGCAGAAGAUGUCAGAGCUGGAAGAGACCUGAGAGGCGAUCCCUUGGUGGGUGAUGGGUUCUUCCGGGAAUCUGGUGGUUUGCGCGCCUUGUCGUCUGCUUCCAGAACAAGGAUCUUCGCUGUACGCCAAGACCCAGACCCCUCUGACAUCGGAAUGACAAGUGGGAUAUUUAAUAAAACAGUUUCAAAUUUGGAGUCAGUCCAGCCUCUGUUGUUUUCUCUUUUCUGUGUUAGCUGCAAAGGGGAAGAAGACCCCGCCCUUGAAGGAGUUUCAGCCAAGUGUGAGGCAUCCCUAGGGUGUCUCCCAUUUUGUUGCUUGUGUCUUUGUAAAGUGCCCAGUGGGUGAUAGAGCAUCAGGAUCUGUACCUUGGGAUCCCAGAGUGGGUUCCGGUGGUUUGACGGGGUCUCCGCCCCGUCCUCUUCAGUGUGGGUCACACUGGGUCACACACUAGAGUAUCCAGACCUCCGCCUGUGGGUUGAUGCCUUAAGAAUGCAUGACCCUCGUGGUC
rnacentral:lncRNA from 1 species